CGGGUGAGUAACACGUGGGUAACCUGCCCAUAAGACUGGGAUAACUCCGGGAAACCGGGGCUAAUACCGGAUAAUAUUUUGAACUGCAUGGUUCGAAAUUGAAAGGCGGCUUCGGCUGUCACUUAUGGAUGGACCCGCGUCGCAUUAGCUAGUUGGUGAGGUAACGGCUCACCAAGGCAACGAUGCGUAGCCGACCUGAGAGGGUGAUCGGCCACACUGGGACUGAGACACGGCCCAG
rnacentral:rRNA from 1 species